rnacentral:rRNA from 1 species
UACGUAGGGUGCAAGCGUUGUCCGGAAUUAUUGGGCGUAAAGAGCUCGUAGGUGGCGGGUCACGUCGGGUGUGAAAGCCCGGGGCUUAACCCCGGGUCUGCAUUCGAUACGGGUCUGCUGGGGUCCGGCAGGGGAGACUGGAAUUCCUGGUGUAGCGGUGAAAUGCGCAGAUAUCAGGAGGAACACCGGUGGCGAAGGCGGGUCUCUGGGCAAUAACUGACGCUGAGGAGCGAAAGCGUGGGGAGCGAACAGG